UCUUUUAUCUUGUCUUGGCAGAAAUACUCCUCUGAUCUAAAUUGCUUAGUGGCUCUGCAAGAACUUUACAACUAUAUUAACAAAUACUAUGACCAGAUAAUCAGUGCAUUAGAAGAGGAUCCAAUGGGCCAAAAGAUGCAGCUAGCAUAUCGACUGCAACAGAUUGCAGCUCUUGUAGAGAACAAAGUGACUGACUUGUAACAUUCCUAAAUCAGCUGUCCACCCAGAUCCAACAACACUAACUAGAAACCUAAGCAUAUUUAACUCAGAAGUAAAUCUUCCCAUGUUUUGUAAUUGCUGAAGAAGGGCAAAUCCUGAAAACCUAUCCUGAAAAUUCUCCACUCUCCAUUCAUCAGCAACAUUUUCAGGUGCCAGGCAGCAUUGCACAAUCUCCCUCAGAGGCAUCUAAAAUAAUUUAAAAUGGACAACACCAUUGCUUCCCUCCUUCCACCCCUAGUGCCUUAACUGCAUGGAUGCUAUAAGGCUUUUUUGCACUUGGUGCUCAUUCUGUCUGUUAUUAAAAACAACAACAACAACAACUAACUGCAAAGGGUGUAAUCCCUGUUUGGAACACUGGCUUUGUAAAUAAAAUUGGUGUAUUUAUUUUGGACACCCUACAAGAAGGGUGUCAAUUUACAGUGUCCCCCUUUUAAGCAGUGUGUGUUAAUGGGCCAUUCUGUGCUGGCCACUACAGAUUGGGGAUUGAGGGAAUUUUAUCCCUUCCAGACUUCAUUUCCUGCCUUAUAAUGCACUAAUAUUGCAAUUGGUGAUAAUACCAUUUUUU